UAAUUCAAUUGGUAGAGGAGCAUUCUUAAAGGGACGAAGCAGUACCGGAAGGAGCUGUGGACUUUUAAGAAGAGAGAAUGCCGGAAUGAGUAGCGAGAGGAAGGUGGGAAUCCUUCCGGCCGAAUAUCUAAGGUUUCCAGAGUAAAGCUGAUCUGCUCUGGGUAAGUCGGGGCCUAAGGCGAGGUCGAAAGACGUAGUCGAUGGAUAACAGGUUGAAAUUCCUGUACUAUCCUGUAACAGAACUGUGGGGACACAGGCAGAGAGCGUGAGCCGGGAAUGGAAAGACCGGUACAAGCGAGGUAGGAGAAGAGUUGGCAAAUCCGCUCUUUAAUCUGAAGACGUGAUGUGGACUGAAAAUAAGUAGGGAAGCACGUGAGCUGACUGUCAAGAAAAGCCGCUAUUGUUUGCAGGAUACCCGUACCGUAAACCGACACAGGUGGAUGAGGAGAGAAUCCUAAGGCCGACGGGAGAAGCAUUGUUAAGGAACUCGGCAAAAUGACUCCGUAACUUCGGGAGAAGGAGUGCCAGUAAGAUGGCCGCAGAGAAUUGGCCCAAGCAACUGUUUAGCAAAAACACAGGUCUAUGCAAAACCGAAAGGUGAGGUAUAUGGGCUGACGCCUGCCCGGUGCUGGAAGGUUAAGGGGAGAGGUUAGCGCAAGCGAAGCUUUGAACAUAAGCCCCAGUAAACGGCGGCCGUAACAAUAACGGUCCUAAGGUAGCGAAAUUCCUUGUCGGGUAAGUUCCGACCCGCACGAAAGGCGUAAUGAUUUGGGCACUGUCUCAACAAUGCACCCGGUGAAAUUGAAAUACCAGUGAAGAUGCUGGUUACCUGCGCCAGGACGGAAAGACCCCAUGGAGCUUUACUCCAGCUUGAUACUGGGAUUCGGUAUUGCAUGUACAGGAUAGGUGGGAGGCUAGGAAAUGGUAACGCCAGUUGCCAUGGAGCCAAUGUUGGGAUACCACCCUUGCAGUACUGGGUUUCUAACCAGCAGCCGUGAUCCGGCUGGGGGACAAUGUCAGGUGGGGAGUUUGACUGGGGCGGUCGCCUCCGAAAGGGUAUCGGAGGCGCUCAAAGGUUCCCUCAGAAUGGUUGGAAACCAUUCGAAGAGUGCAAAGGCAGAAGGGAGCUUGACUGCGACACCGACGGGUGGAGCAGGUACGAAAGUAGGACUUAGUGAUCCGGUGGUAUAAAGUGGGAUUGCCAUCGCUCAACGGAUAAAAGCUACCCUGGGAUAACAGGCUUAUUACUCCCAAGAGUCCACAUCGACGGAGUGGUUUGGCACCUCGAUGUCGGCUCAUCGCAUCCUGGGGCUGAAGUAGGUCCCAAGGGUUGGGCUGUUCGCCCAUUAAAGCGGUACGCGAGCUGGGUUCAGAACGUCGUGAGACAGUUCGGUCCCUAUCCGGCGUGGGCGUAAGAUAUUUGAGAGGAGCUGUCCUUAGUACGAGAGGACCGGGAUGGACUGGCCGCUGGUGUAUCUGUUGUCUUACCAAAGGCAUAGCAGAGUAGCCAAGCCGGGAAGGGAUAAACACUGAAGGCAUCUAAGCGUGAAGCCCCCCUCAAGAUGAGAUAUCUCAUAACGUCAAGUUAGUAAGACCCCUUGAAGACGGCGAGGUAGAUAGGGCAGAGGUGGAAGUGUGGUAACACAUGGAGCUGACUGUUACUAAUAGGUCGAGGGCAUAACC
rnacentral:rRNA from 1 species